rnacentral:rRNA from 1 species
UACAGAGGUCUCAAGCGUUGUUCGGAUUCAUUGGGCGUAAAGGGCGCGUAGGCGGCGGGGUCAGUCGGGUGUGAAAUCUUGGGGCUUAACCCCGAAACGGCACUCGAAACUGCCCGGCUGGAGGGCCGGAGAGGAGAUCGGAGUUCACGGUGUAGCAGUGAAAUGCGUAGAGAUCGUGAGGAAGACCCGUGGCGAAGGCGGAUCUCUGGACGGCUAACUGACGCUGAGGCGCGAAGGCCAGGGGAGCAAACGGG